UACGAAGGGGGCUAGCGUUGCUCGGAAUCACUGGGCGUAAAGCGCACGUAGGCGGAUCUUUAAGUCAGGGGUGAAAUCCCGGAGCUCAACUCCGGAACUGCCUUUGAUACUGGAGAUCUUGAGUCCGGGAGAGGUGAGUGGAACUGCGAGUGUAGAGGUGAAAUUCGUAGAUAUUCGCAAGAACACCAGUGGCGAAGGCGGCUCACUGGCCCGGUACUGACGCUGAGGAGCGAAAGCCAGGGGAGCAAACGGG
rnacentral:rRNA from 1 species